GACGAACGCUGGCGGCGUGCUUAACACAUGCAAGUCAAACGGAAAGGCCCUGCUUUUGUGGGGUGCUCGAGUGGCGAACGGGUGAGUAACACGUGAGUAACCUGCCCUUGACUUUGGGAUAACUUCAGGAAACUGGGGCUAAUACCGGAUAGGAGCUCCUGCUGCAUGGUGGGGGUUGGAAAGUUUCGGCGGUUGGGGAUGGACUCGCGGCUUAUCAGCUUGUUGGUGGGGUAGUGGCUUACCAAGGCUUUGACGGGUAGCCGGCCUGGGAGGGUGACCGGCCACAUUGGGACUGAGAUACGGCCCAGACUCCUACGGGAGGCAGCAGUGGGGAAUAUUGCACAAUGGGCGGAAGCCUGAUGCAGCAACGCCGCGUGCGGGAUGACGGCCUUCGGGUUGUAAACCGCUUUCGCCUGUGACGAAGCGUGAGUGACGGUAAUGGGUAAAGAAGCACCGGCUAACUACGUG
rnacentral:rRNA from 1 species